rnacentral:tRNA from 11 species
GGUGUGGUAGUUCAGUUGGUUAGAAUACCGGCCUGUCACGCCGGGGGUCGCGGGUUCGAGUCCCGUCCGCACCG